ensembl:lncRNA
AGGGAUCACAGGCAUGAGUCAUCACAUCCAGCCAAAAUCUCUUUUAUCUCACUGCAAGCUUUUAAUUCAUUUCCAAAUAUUAGGAAUUAGUUUGUUUCAUAAGCCUGAAAUAUGUGCAGGAUUUCUGAAAGAUGAUUUCUGUCAGUGUGGAAGCAUGUUGCCUCCAGUCGUUAAAACUUUCAUCAGCUUGUCUAAGAGUUUGAUUCAAUGUCUCAUCGUCCUCCGAUAUGCUACUCUUGCUAGUAAACAAGCAAAAGGAAACUGCUAGGGCUCAGGGUUUGGGUGCUACUGAGUGUUUACAAAUACUCGAGCUGUAGACAAGUGAAUGUUCCCUGACACAGAAGGAAGCAGCUUUAUCCUAGCUGUGCUAAGUGUAUGUGUGUGUGUGUGUGUGGUUGGGGACAUCACUUGCUUCAAAAGACUACAUUAUGUGAUACAAGGAAUAUCUGGAGUCAGACACAACUGCGUCCAAAUUCCAGCUCUGUCUGACCCUGACCUGUUCCUCUUCUUGAGUCUCAGUGUCCUUGACUCUAACACUUGGGUAGUGAGACCUACCCUGAGGGUCACUGAGAGGAAUAAAGGGGCCAUGUGUGUAUAAACUAUAUACCCAGAACCUAGUGGAUGUUCAGCAUGUGGGAUUUCUUACCUUCUCUUUAAAAGUAGGGACAUAGUAAGACUUGUCAUCCUAUGUUAUUGGUCUCCCUCUUGGGCAGAAACCCUAAACAUUCUCCUGCUCUGUCAUCCCCAUGAGCCACAACUCUGCCAAACGGGGCCUGCGGAUUUGGGAGAUCUUGGGAGCUUAGGGGUCAUGGGUGAGUCAGAGCACACACUAUUCAAACUAUUCCGUCAUAGCCUUGGAAUACACAGGAAAGCAACCCUGAGGAAUUUCCAUUAAACAAACAAAGGUUUGCAUCUUUUUUUGAUCUUUGCUUGUCUGGUAAAAGCCUGCUUUUGUUGUCAAGCAUUCCCAGCGGGAACCUAGGGGAGAGAGACAACAGCCAGGAGUCAAGCCCAGGUUCCAGUAGGAAGGCCCAGGGGCCUCACUUGAAAUAGCCACAUCUAACCUUUGUAAAGGCUGCUUCCUGCCCAUGGCUGCAGAGGCCAUUUCCUGUGCUUCUAAUUUUUCCAGGAGAGGAAGAAGCGGGGAGAGACCAACAAUGACCUGUUUCUGGCAGAUGUGUUUUCCUACCAGGGGAAGUUCCAUGAGGCCGCCAAACUGUACAAGAGGAGCGGGCACGAGAACCUCACACUUGAAAUGUGUUGGAAGAAAAGCUGAGUGUUGGGAGAGAAGCUGAGGCAGGGCUUGCAUGUCUGCUAGACUUGCUGCUCCUUGCUUCUAGCAUUCCCAUUAUCUCAAGUAACCAUGUUUCUCAUUCACUUGAUACACUAUUUCCUUUCAACCCCCACAUCCUCACCACCUGUUUGUUUGAGCACCAAUAAAUAGCGUGGGCUCCCAGAGCCUGGGGCCUUUGCAGCCUCCACACUUGUGAUGGCCCCCUGGUCCCACUUUCUCUCUCAGAUUGUCUUUCUCAUUCCUUGGACUCCACUGGACUUCGCCCCCAUGACCUGGUCUUGGGUCUGAUCACCCCAAAAGAAAUGGGGUUUGAGUAUGUUUGAGUAUGCCAAGGUAACCCACCCUGUCACAGGCCCAAGAUCCAGCUUGGAGCCCACUGGUGAUCUCACCCACGGUGUCCAAGUUGUUUUCCCUAAGACUGGUGCAGACAAAAACUAGCAAUGGCCUCAGAAAGGAUGUGGGGAAACUGGUAAACAAAGGACCCAUCUGCAGCCACUGGUUGAAACUCACCUAAAACUGACCUUUAAGACUGACACCAAAGGGGCAGAGUAUGGCAGUUCAGACCUUCAUCAGUGACAGAGCUGGACGGCUGUGGGUCUACACCAGCACAAUCCCUUCAUUGAGUUGAGGGCUCAGGGCUUCAGGGCUGUCUCCCACAAAUCCUCUCAAUCCUUGUCAGGAGCCGCCAAGAAUCGGUGUCUUCAGGUGGGAGCUGGUCCUGCCAAUCAUACAGGAUGACAUGGUGCACACCAGCCAAGGUUCCCUAAGCGCCUGCCAAUUGUCCUGGACUUUGCACUGGGCUUCUGGCAAGUCAGGCAGAGCCUCCGCCCUCCCAUGUUUGCGCAGCAUGCCUCACGCCUGCCGGCUGCAGAGUGGCUACCAUGUGGUUGCAGUGGGUGAUGGCAGAGAUUCCCCUUUGCAUUGGGAUGGCCCCCAUGAACCUUACUCCCCAGCAGAGCCGGGCCUUUUAAGGCAGGUAUAGGAAAGGAGCUUCCUGGACCAGGCUCCUGAUGGCUUCUGUGGGAAGGAGUUGCACUAAGGAGUCCAGACCAGUCAAGACAUUUGCAGUUCAGCCUAAGCAAGGUUCAAAGAGGCUUGGGUGCAUUGAGCAACUACAGUCUUCCUUCUACAGAGGGGCUUUGUUAACCUGCCUUUUCCGGGAGUGUCAAAAGUGGCUCUCAGUAUGUUAUGAAGGGACUCAUCAGCCAUAACCUAUUAGUGGGCUACUAAUGGUAAUUCUCCAGCUCACAAGUUCAAGAUAGAAAAUCUUCCUCACUUUUUUCUGCUUUUCCAGAUAGCUGUGCUCUUC